AUUGAACGCUGCGGAAUGCUUUACACAUGCAAGUCGAGCGGCAGCGCGGUCUUCGGACUGGCGGCGAGCGGCGAACGGGUGAGUAAUACAUCGGAACAUGCCCAGUCGUGGGGGAUAACACUUCGAAAGAAGUGCUAAUACCGCAUACGUCCUGAGGGAGAAAGCGGGGGAUCGCAAGACCUCGCGCGAUUGGAGUGGCCGAUGUCAGAUUAGCUAGUUGGUGGGGUAAAGGCCUACCAAGGCAACGAUCUGUAGCUGGUCUGAGAGGAUGAUCAGCCACACUGGGACUGAGACACGGCCCAGACUCCUACGGGAGGCAGCAGUGGGGAAUUUUGGACAAUGGGGGCAACCCUGAUCCAGCCAUUCCGCGUGAGUGAAGAAGGCCUUCGGGUUGUAAAGCUCUUUCGGCAGGAACGAAACGGCGAGCUCUAACAUAGCUCGCUAAUGACGGUACCUGAAGAAGAAGCACCGGCUAACUACGUGCCAGCCGCCGCAGUAAGAU
rnacentral:rRNA from 1 species